rnacentral:rRNA from 1 species
AGCUCCAAUAGCGUAUAUUAAAGUUGUUGCAGUUAAAAAGCUCGUAGUUGGAUUUCUGGUCGGAUGCGCCUGGCCCGCCUGCGCAAGCGGGUGAGUGCCGGUUCGCGCGUCUACCAUCCUUCCAGAAAGCGUUGCUUUGCCCUUCACUGGGUGAGGCCGUGCUCUGGAACUUUUACUUUGAGAAAAUUAGAGUGUUCAAAGCAGGCAUUUUGCUGUGAAUACAUUAGCAUGGAAUAAUAAUAUAGGACUUUGGUUCUAUUUUGUUGGUUUCUAGGACUGAAGUAAUGAUUGAUAGGGAUAGUUGGGGGUGCUCGUAUUCAGCGGCCAGAGGUGAAAUUCUCAGAUUCGCUGAAGACGAACUUAUGCGAAAGCAUUCACCAAGGAUGUCUUCUUUAAUCAA